rnacentral:rRNA from 1 species
UACGAAGGGGGCUAGCGUUGCUCGGAAUUACUGGGCGUAAAGCACACGUAGGCGGCUUUCUAAGUCGGGGGUGAAAUCCUGGAGCUCAACUCCAGAACUGCCUUCGAUACUGGAGAGCUUGAGUCCGGGAGAGGUGAGUGGAACUGCGAGUGUAGAGGUGAAAUUCGUAGAUAUUCGCAAGAACACCAGUGGCGAAGGCGGCUCACUGGCCCGGUACUGACGCUGAGGUGCGAAAGCGUGGGGAGCAAACAGGGAU